rnacentral:rRNA from 1 species
UAGGGAAUAUUGGGCAAUGGACGCAAGUCUGACCCAGCCAUGCCGCGUGCAGGAAGACGGCCCUCUGGGUUGUAAACUGCUUUUAUCAGGGAAGAAGAGUAGGCUUGCGAGCUUAUGUGACGGUACCUGAGGAAUAAGCACCGGCUAACUCCGUGCCAGCAGCCGCGGUAAUACGGAGGGUGCAAGCGUUGUCCGGAUUUAUUGGGUUUAAAGGGUGCGUAGGUGGCCAUUUAAGUCAGCUUUGAAAGCUGGUCGCUUAACGAUCAGGGGUGGGUUGAUACUGGAUGGCUUGGAUCAGGUGGCGGUUUCUGGAACGGGUCGUGUAGCGGUGAAAUGCAUAGAUAUGACCCAGAACUCCGAUUGCGAAGGCAGGAGGCUACGCCUGGAUUGACACUGAGGCACGAGAGCAUGGGGAGCAAACAGG